GUGAAAGUGAAACUAGACAGAGCAAGCUCCUGGCCCUGCCCCCAGCCUAGCCUGGUAAAGAUGAGUUCCGGCAGCCCUCAGGCACUGGCAAAGUGGGACAGAGAUCCUGGACAUUUACACCCUUUGGGGAAGCAGGGCUCAUCCUGGAAGAGAGGCCAUGCCCCCAAAAGCUGUCUGCCAAGCCAGUCACCAGUCCUUGGCUUAUAAGUCAGAGAAGUCCAGCUUCACCUCAGUCCUGGCAAGGGUUGGAGAGCGAGUGCCUGAGCUUCUUCCAGGAAACCUUACCUGCUUGGCGCCUUGAGGCAUCUUCUUGGGAACAUCCUGAACGGGAGAACUGCAAGAUCAAGACAUGAAGGCAAGAGGCAGGUGAGCAAGAUGCAAGGAGCAAGUAAGCCAGGCUCAGCACAUGCCCCUUAGGGAGCCACCAUGACAUGGUUGCUGGCAUGGCUGUUUGCUGGGCUAGGUACCUCAGUAAUCCCCACUGCAGGAACAUGUCUAUGAACAGCUGGAGAGCCACGGCCACCAGAGUGGUGGAAGCAGGGGAAGUUGGACCAAAUUAUAAUCUUGUGGUUUCCAUUCAGGGCCAAGCCAAUUCCACUGGAAUGCUCACCAUUGGAGUGGUGGGCUCUCAGUUACCUCACCAUGUACUGGGCUCUAUCUGUGGCUGGAGAGCCCAACUGACUCACCAUCCAUGGCUGAAGGAAAGCCAGCCAUGCCCUGAUAAUGAACUUAGGCCUGGCCUCAUCUGCCUAGAGUGGGGCCAUCACCUCCACAAGACCCUCAGCAAGUUAGAUAGCCCAUAAAGUGCUCUCUGAACACAGGGUUAAGCCAUCUCCCUAGAUAAUCUGUGCAGGCAGGGUCUGGGGCAGAACAGAUCAUGGCCCCAGGCCCUAGCCUCCCACUCCCAGCUCCAGAGCUGGACAAGGAUGUUUCCAUCCAACUCCUGGGUACUCUAAAUGACUACCCUUUCCUCAUAUUUUCCCAGAUGAGUGGGAGAAUGGUUACCUUAGGCUGACCCUGUGGAUUCACAAAGCCAAAAGGACAGGAACAGGAUCAGGGCCUGCCGACACUGAGCCCCUCCACUCCUGCCCCCCAUAACCUGUGGUGAUGCCACAUGAUGACCAUGGGAGGAAUCUCCAGUUCUGCAAAUCUGGUUCUGGGGAGGCUGAUCCAAGUUAGGGGUGUCCUGUGCUCCCUCGCAUCACUUGCAGACAGGGAAGAUGGUAGAAAUGUCUCUAAAAGGUCUGGCAGCCUGCAGUUCCUAGGCAUCCACUUUCAACUUUUCUAGCUAAAGAGGUAACAUGAGGAAGCCAUGGUGUCAGGCAGGCACUGACAGGCCCCCUGACCGCAGCCCACAUUUGUAGGUUUGUUUCUCACUGCUACCAAGCCUGGCCCUACACAGCACCGCUGACUGCCCCUGAGGUUGGGGAGGGGUGGAUAGCCCAGCUGGCUUUCCCUUUUGUCCUCUCCCUGGGCCUCCUCCACCUCCACUGCCUAACACUUCAAUUUCUUUCUCUUCUGUUCUAAGUCUUUGACUAAGAAGAGACUUCUCAGCCUGACUCGCUUACCUGAGCAGUGUAUACCCACCCAUGGAUGUUUGGGAAUAGUUCCUGCCUCCAUGAUGAACUACACUUGGGCUGUCUGACCAAGGAGAGAGCCUCCUAUUCCCAGUCCCACGGCACCCCUAGUGCAGGUCCCCCCAUCCCACUGCAGCUCCUCACUGCUUCUCAUGCCUACCCCUGUGGACUACUCAUUAAUAGUAUGGCCCUGGGCUCCUUGGUCUGAGAUGGUCCUGCCUCAAGCAUAGCCUGAAGGGCACAAAAUGAAAGAGGAAGUUCAGAGGCCCUAGCUCGGGACUCCAGUGUCAGCCAUACAAUGUACUGGGAGCAUCUCCUCCCCAACAUCAGCCCUACUGGGAUCCCUGUGUUCUCUCCAAUUGACAUCCCAACAUUUGCCUAAAGGAUAAUCAUGAAGACUAAUGAGAUAAGCAAGAGAAGGGCUUUGUACAGAGUGAGUACUCAGGAAAGGGAAGAGGUGGUUGGAACCAAAGCCAUGGCCAAGCCCAAGGGACCCCUGCUGUCCUCUCAACCACACAGAACUAUUAGGGCAGGACCUGCAGAGAUCUCUUAUCCAUCUUCCUUCUGGGCUAUGGAAGAGCAAGGUACUACCACUUACU